UACAGAGGGGGCGAGCGUUGUCCGGAUUUACUGGGCGUAAAGCGCGCGCAGGCGGCACUUCAAGUAAGGUGUGAAAUCUCCCUGCUCAACGGGGAGGGUGCACUUUAGACUGAGGAGCUAGAGGACGGUAGAGGGGGGUGGAAUUGCUGGUGUAGCGGUGAAAUGCGUAGAGAUCAGCAGGAACGCCCGUGGCGAAGGCGGCCCCCGGGGCCGUACCUGACGCUGAGGCGCGAAGGCUAGGGGAGCGAACGGG
rnacentral:rRNA from 1 species